rnacentral:rRNA from 1 species
UACGUAGGUGGCAAGCGUUGUCCGGAUUUACUGGGCGUAAAGCGCGCGCAGGUGGUUCGUUUAGUCCGAUGUGAAAGCUCCCGGCUCAACUGGGAGAGGCCAUUGGAGACGGGCGGACUUGAGGCAGGCAGAGGCUGGUGGAAUUCCCGGUGUAGUGGUGAAAUGCGUAGAGAUCGGGAGGAACACCCGUGGCGAAGGCGGCCAGCUGGGCCUGUUCUGACGCUGAGGCGCGAAAGCGUGGGGAGCGAACCGG